UAGGGAAUCUUCGGCAAUGGGGGGAACCCUGACCGAGCAACGCCGCGUGAGUGAAGAAGGUUUUCGGAUCGUAAAGCUCUGUUGUUAAGGAAGAACGAGUGUGAGAAUGGAAAGUUCAUGCUGUGACGGUACUUAACCAGAAAGGGACGACUAACUACGUGCCAGCAGCCGCGGUAAUACGUAGGUCCCGAGCGUUGUCCGGAUUUAUUGGGCGUAAAGCGAGCGCAGGCGGUUAGAAAAGUCUGAAGUGAAAGGCAGUGGCUCAACCAUUGUAGGCUUUGGAAACUGUUUAACUUGAGUGCAGAAGGGGAGAGUGGAAUUCCAUGUGUAGCGGUGAAAUGCGUAGAUAUAUGGAGGAACACCGGUGGCGAAAGCGGCUCUCUGGUCUGUAACUGACGCUGAGGCUCGAAAGCGUGGGGAGCGAACAGG
rnacentral:rRNA from 1 species